GCCUUCGGACCUUGCUCUGGAUACCCCGCCUACUUGAUUUACAUGUGGGAAAACUGCUUUUGCCCUCCCCGCAGAGGACUAGAACCAUCUUUUGAGGGAGAACACCACCCUUUUUUUUUUUUCCUACGCCACUUCUUUCAUUUCCCUAAGAAGCGAAAGAAAGAGAAAGAAAGGAAGGAAGGAAGGAAGAAAGAGAGCAGGAAAUAAAACUUACUGAACUCGAUCAUCUCAUCUAACUACUGAAACUGCCUAUCAUUGAGAUUCAGCUCCAGCAACAAGUAUAUAUAUACUUGUCACUGAGUACACCCGAGGAGAUAAUUCCCGAGAUUCUGGCAGGGUGCAGCAAGGGAGGAUGCUUAUGACUCAUGUACCCACGUAAAAGUCUCUCUCUUCGGGUUGGAUUAAGACUAGAAGAAGAACAGCAGCAGCCUGAUACACAGCUGGAGUCACAGCUUCUCGACUGAACCAAAUGUCAUGGAGACCUGCGCUCCAGUCCCAGCUGCGAGGCGAUUCCUGGAGGCUUUGAUGAGAGAAAAGCUACACCCAAUCACUGAAGCCUUUGCGGUGACGCUUAUACCUCUCUGUCAACUAGUGGAUGGGAGGGGAGAAGCCAAUGAACGACUUUCAUGGGCGGAGCUGUCCUUGCUGUCAGAACUGUUUGAAUGGGCUCGGUUUGCCCAAGAAGAGCGACGAGGGGGUGGGGAGGAGCAGAGAAGAUGUUUCUCUGAAAGAGACCAAUCCACCCACGCAGGGCAGCUUUAGCUGGACUCUCUCCUGUCCGUUUUCUAGAAAAGACCAGAAGAAGGAGGAAAAAGCACUUAUUGUAGUUUCUUAAAAAAAAAAAAAGACAUGCAAUAAAUAAAAUAAUUACGAUAC